ACAAAAGCCAAUCCUCUGAACCAAAUGACCAGUUGUCUAAACACAUUUACUAAAUCUAGCCAUCAUUUUUCAAUAUCAUAAACACAUUUCACAUGAAGACACAAUUCACAAAACACAAUCCUCCAUUCACAUAAAUCUUAACACAUUUUUCCUUGCUAAAACACAAGUUGCAAAAUAACUCUGCUCAUAUUCUCAAAUGAAAGCUCAUGUGAUGCAAAAUGCUUGCCACAGUCAGCAAUAUUUGAACAAAAUGAACACACCUGGCGUCAUUCAUUACACACAACGACUCAAAAUUGAAAACACCUGUUGCUAAUGCUGUGACCACAUGUAUAAAAGCAAGUUCAGAGUGCACAGUUUGCUGAAGAUUCCAAACAAACACAAUGGAUGAAGGCAGAGUCAGGGGAAGAGGUAAUCGCGUCAGAGGAGGGAGAAGAGCUGGCCAGGGAGGAAGAGGAGCAGGCCAUGGUGGAAAAGGAGCUGGCCAGGGAGGAAGAGGAGCAGGCCAACAAGGAAGAGAAGGUCCAGGAGGAAGAGCAAGACAACCUCGUACCAUCAUUACGGACGAGAUGCGAGCAACAGUCAUUGACCAUGUCAUUGUCCAUGGCAUGACAAUGGGUGAAACAGGACUAAGAGUCCGUCCAAACCUGAGUAGGUUCACCGUGGCCACCAUUAUCAGGGCAUUCAGACAACACAACAGAGUUGAAAGAAUGCCACAUAGAGGUGGGCGGUUUGCCAUAUUUACAGCGGCACAAGAAACCCCCAUUGUGAAUAUGGUUCAUGAGAACAACCUCAUCAGACUCCGGGAGAUCAGAGACAAAGUCAUUGACGAUAAUGUGAACUUUGAGGGCAUUGAUGAUGUCAGCUUGGCCACAAUAGACCGAGUUCUCCGGCGCCAAAAGAUGCGGAUGAAACAAGUCUAUAGGGUUCCCUUUGAGCGAAACUCUGCAUGACACAAAGACCUACGUUAUGAGUAUGUGCAAAGAAUAUUACAGCAAUGGCCAGACCUCAUGUGUACCUCUUCCUGGAUGAGGCUGGCUUCAACCUUUUAUGUGAUCAUUUGGGACAAUGUACGCUUCCACACAACAAACCAAAUAAGUGAGUGGUUCACCACCAACAGUAACCACUUUUUAAACGUCUGUCUGCCACCCUACUCCCCUUUCAUGAACCCUACAGAGGAGUUCUUCUCAUCGUGGAGAUGGAAGGUUUAUGACAACCAUACACUAGAGAAAACCUCCUAAGGGCAAUGGAGCUGGCGUGUGUUGACAUCCCAGUGGAGAACUUCCAAGGAUGGAUCCGCCAUUCCAGGGCGUUUUUUCCACGGUGCCUGGCAAGAGACAAUAUAGCCUGUGAUGUGGAUGAGGUGAUGUGGCCUGAUGCAGCUCAGCGACAUGAUGCCGCACAGUGAUUGUGGUGUAAAUACUGUAAAAUGAAUAAAAAAAACGUAACACCCUGAUCAU